GCUGCAGAGGAGGAGAAGGGAGAGACUCCCCCUGACUGCAGCCAUCUGCCAGCCACUGAGGAAACUGGCAACCUCAAGGUUGGGUUAAGUGACAGCCCCAGGGAGGAGCCCGGUCAGUCAGUGGUGGAGGAAACCAAGACUCUCGGGGAGGAGUUAGAGGACACCCCCGUGAAGGGAGGGUCACC